AUUGAACGCUGGCGGCAGGCCUAACACAUGCAAGUCGAGCGGAGCGGCGGACGGGAGAGUAAUGCCUAGGAAUCUGCCUGGUAGUGGGGGAUAAGGUCCGGUAACGGGCGCUAAUACCGCAUCCUAUCAGAUUAGCAUAGGCCGGAUUAGCCAGUUGGGGGGGUAAAGGCCUACCAAGACGACGAUCCGUAACUGGUCUGAGAGGAUGAUCAGUCACACUGGAACUGAGACACGGUCCAGACUCCUACGGGAGGCAGCAGUGGGGAAUAUUGGACAAUGGGCGAAAGCCUGAUCCAGCCAUGCCGCGUGUGUGAAGAAGGUCUUCGGAUUGUAAAGCACUUUAAGUUGGGAGGCGUUACCAACAGAAUAAGCACCGGCUAACUUCGUGCCAGCAGCCGCGGUAAUUC
rnacentral:rRNA from 1 species